rnacentral:rRNA from 1 species
CGGGGUGGAGUAAUGUCUGGGAAACUGCCUGAUGGAGGGGGAUAACUGCUGGAAACGGUAGCUAAUACCGCAUAACGUCGCAAGACCAAAGAGGGGGACCUUCGGGCCUCUUGCCAUCGGAUGUGCCCAGAUGGGAUUAGCUAGUAGGUGGGGUAACGGCUCACCUAGGCGACGAUCCCUAGCUGGUCUGAGAGGAUGACCAGCCACACUGGAACUGAGACACGGCCCAG